GAGAACGUCACCGUUGCAGCUCCAUCUGCCUUCCAACGUCGCGCAAGCCCAGACACUUACUUCAAGCAGGAAUCGGUUGAUCACAGCAACUUGGACCUUACCAACAUCUUCUCCAACUGCAUCCCACAAGGACUGGGUGAAGAAUCUGACGUAGCGUUCAAACAAAGUUUUUUUUUAGGGUAGCCUAAAAUGCAAAAAGUUGAAGGAGGAGAGGACCGGAAGCCAACCCCCGAGGAGUUGGAGUCCGAGGUAGCGAAGGAGAUGAGGGCAGCAGGCACUCACCGAGCACAUGCUGAAGAUGGGGAGAGCAAAGGCGUUGUGGACAAGCUCCAGAAGAAUACGUCGAAAAUCAAGGACGCAGCAGCGGAGAAGAUGGAUCAACUUGGAGACGCCGUGAAGGGCGCGUUCUCCUCAGAGAAGUAGAACUUAGAGCUCUAAGGUUAUAGAUUUCUCGAAGCGUGAGUGUACAGAUGUGUAUGCUCUAGUUUGCUGGGAGAGCUAAUUUGCUUCAAGCAGAUAUUGUAAGCAAAUAAAAUGCACACAGAUUAGGCCUCAGAAGGGCCUUCUCAUUAACUGCUUAA